CGUGCACACUCCGUACAGACAGCACCCAUACUCAGGAUCAACCCCGAUUCUCUGGCGCUGUAAGGCAGCAACAUCACUGCGGCACCACUGUUUUGCCCCCAGCCGAGGAUAUUGUAAAGUGUAUAGUGGAGUCAAUGGUGGGAAGUAUGGUCUGUGUGAAAGACUGGACUUCAUCCACAACUCUGCAAUUUUUCGUAGCUUCGUGUCGUAAAUGGGUAUAUAUAACACUGAACGCAUUUUUCAUAUUUCUUCUUACAGAGACUUGUGGCUUGACUAAAGAAGCUAAAAUUCAGACAAUGCAAACUGCGAAACUGACUUAUCUGAUCCUGAUUUGCAAGAGUAUUCUCUAUGGAAUAAUUAUUUCUGUAUUAGCUUGCAAAGCCAAGACAUCUUACAACAAGAGGUUUGAUUGAGGGGCCAAGACCUGCAUGACCACGAUCCCGUGAUUUCAAGAUUAUACGGACCUAUCUUUCCUUGGAUUUGAAAUCAUUUUGGAAUAUUAAUUCGCUUUGCUGCGUUAGUUAGGUGCGUUUGCUCAUGACCUGUUACCUGGUUCACUCUGAAAUCAAUUUUCUUGUGAUCCGGAAGGUUAGUUUUCCCACGAUGGACUUCAAACUAAAAUGUUUGAAGAGGCCUCUGAAUUCACCAGAGAUCUAGCAAUCUGCAAUUUUUAUGUACGUGGUGAUAUGUUAAGCAAUAAAGAUAGCGUUACUGCAAAUAAAUCUCCCGUUUCUCAUUUACUUAUGUCAUAUUUGCAUAAAACGAAAAAAGUCAUAAUUCAAGGGACCUGAGCUACAAAACGUUCAUAAAAUAUAGGAGUAGUAUUAGUCAAGUCUUGAAUGGAAACAUAAAAACAUUGAACAUGGGUACAGAAGUAGGCCAUUCGGCCCUUCGAGCUUGCCCCACCAUUCAAUAUGAUCAUGGCUGAUCAUCCAACUCAGUAUCCCGUACCUGCCUUCUCUCCAUACCCCCGAUCCCUUUAGCCACAAGGGCCACAUCUAACUCCCUCUGAAAUAUAGUCAAUGAACUGGCCUCAACUACCUCCUGUGGCUGAUCUAUAUUUCCCUCUCAGCUGCAUUGUCACGCCUUCCCCCCUUAACCGCUAAAGCCUGUACUAAUCAAUAACUUGUCAAACGCAUACCUUUAUCCAUUGAUCUGGCCUCCACAGCUGUCUGUUGCAACGAAUUCCACAGAUUCACAACCCUCCGGCUAAAGAAAUCCCUCCACAUCUGCAUUCUAAAGGGAUAUCCUUUCAUUCUGAGUCUGGGGCUUCUGGUUCUAGACUCUCCCACUAAUCAUAAACACAUAUCCACAUCCACUCUAUCCAAAACUUAUACUAUUUGGUACGUUUCCAUGAUGUCACCCCCUCAUCCUUCUAUACUGCAAUGAGUGCAGUCCCAAUAUCAUCAGUGAAUUAAUCCAAUUGUCCUUGGAUCAUUCUUGUAAACCUCUGCUUGACACUCUGAUGGAGAGGUUGAACAGGCUAGGCAUAUACACAUUGGAACACUGUAGAUGUUGUACAUAUGGAUUCCAGCAAGGCAUUGGACAAGGUUCCGCAUGGUAGGUUGCCAUGGAAGGUUAGAUGGCAUGUGAUCCAGUGAGAGAGAGCUGAAUGGAUAGACAAUUGGGUUCAUUCAAGGAAGCGAAGGUGAUGCUGAAUUAUCGUUUUUCGGGCUGCAGGCCUGUGACUAGUGAUGUACCUCAGGGUUCGUUCCUGGGUCAAUUGCUGUUUGUCAUCAUAUCAAUGAUUUGGAUGAGAACAUACAAGGCAUGAUUAAGGUAAAAAAGUAAGGAAUAGGAGCAGAAUUAGGCAAUUCGGCCCACCAAGCCUACUCAAUAAUUGCUGAUAUAUCUAUCCAUCCUCAUCCCAUUCUCUUGCCUUCUCCCCAUAACCUCUGUCAUCUGUACUAAUCAAUAAUCUGUCUAUCUGUGCCUUAAACGUAUCCACCUAAUUGGCCUCUACAACCUUCUGUGGCAGAGAGUUCCACAGAUUCACAACCCUCUGACUAAAUAAAUUUCUCACCGUCUCCUUCCUAAAAUAACGUCCUUUAAUUCUGAGUCUAUAACAUGUAGUUCUACACUCUCCCGCCAAUGAAAACAUCCUCUCCACUUCCAUAAUAUCCACAAAUGUCACAAUUAUUUAUGUUUCAAUGGGGUCCCUCCUCAUUGUUCUAAAUUCCAGCGAGUAAAGGCACAGUGCCGACAAACGUUCAUCAUAUGUUAACCUACGUAGUCCUGGGAUCAUUCAUGUAAACCUCCUCUGGGCCCUCUCCUAAACCAGCGCACCCGUCCUCAGAUCUAGUGCCCAGAAUUACUCACAAUAUUCCAAAUAUGGCCUUACCAGCAUUUUAUAGAGUUUUGACAUUUCAUUUCUGUUUGUGUAUUCUAGCCCUCGUGAAAUACUUGCUAGUAUUUAGUUUGCUUACUUUACUCCCGAUUCUACUUGCCGAUUAACUUUUUGAAAAUCCUGCUCCUGCACUGCAAAGUCCGUUUGCUCCUCCGAUUUCUGGAUUCUCACCCGAUUUAGAAAAUAGUCUACGACUUUAUUAUUACUACCAAAACGCAUUACUCCACAUUUUGCAGACCUAUGUUCCAUCUGCUACCUCUGCCACUCUCCCAACCUAUCAAUGUCCUUCUGCAGAGUCCCUGUUUUCCCAACACUACCUGCCCCUCCAACUAUUUUCGUAUCAACCGCAAUUUCUUCCACAAAGACUUCAGUCCACUCGUCCAAAUCAUUAGUAUACAAUUCGAAGAGGAGCGGCCCCAGCAGCGACCGUUGCGGAACUCCAAUAGUCACUGGCAGUCAACUCGAAAGAUACCCCAUUAUUGCCACCUCUCUGUCUUCCGCCAUCUAGCCAAGCUGCUAUCCAUGUAUACGUCAUUUGAUGCCGUGGGCUCUCAUCUUCGUAAGCUGCGUCACGUGUGGCACCUUAUCAAUGGCUUUCUGUUAAAAUAAGUAAAUGACAUCUCAUUUGUCUGUCCUGUUAUUUACUUGCUCAAAGAAUUCCAGCAAAUCUGUCAAGGAAGACCUCCCCUUUACAAAGCCAUGCUCACUUCGGCCUAUUUGAUCAUGACAAUAUCAGUACUCUGAAACAUCCUUUUUAAUGAUCUUAAAAAUCUUACCCUAGCACUGAAAUCAGACUAACCGGCCUCUAGUUCCCAUUGUUAUGCCUUGCAUCCUUUUUUUUUUUGCAGAGGAUAAUAUUGGCAAUGUUCUAAUCAUCUGGAACAACUUCUGACUAGUGAUUCCUAAAAUAGCAUUAUAAAUGCCUCCGCAAACACUAAAGUCACUUAUUUCUGAACCAUAUAGUGCAGUCUAUGCAGCCCAGGUGGCAUCCAACUUCAGCCUGUUUAGUUUCCCAAGCAUCUUCUCCUUGGUAAUAACCAUUCCACUAACUUCUAUCCCCUGGCUCUGGAAUCUCAGGCAUGUUGCUGGCGUCUUCCGCUGUGAAGAAUGAUGAAAAAAGUGAUCCAACACCACUGCCAUUUCCUUAUUUCCUACUAUCACUUCACCCGCAUCAUUCUCCAGCAGUUUAAUGUACACUCUUCUCUCUUUCUUACACUUUAUAUAAAUGAAGAGAGUCUUGCUAUUCUUUUUUUAAUAUUAUUGGCUAGCUUUCUUUUGUAUUUCAUCUUUUCUCCCCGUAUUGUGUUUUCUGAUACCAUCUGUUCCACUUGAAAAGCUCACCAAUCCUCUGGCUUCCCACUAACCUUUGCACUGUUAUACACCUUAUCUUUUAGCUUUAUACUGUCCUUGACUUCCCUUGUCAGCCACGGACGCGGCUCCGCCAAUAAUCUUUCUUCCGCUUUGGAAUGAAAUGAUCCUGCAUAUUCCGGAUUAUUCCCUAAAAUUCGUGCCAUUUGGUGGUCUACCGUCACCCCUGCUAGGGUCCCAAUCUAGCCAACAUUGGCCAGCUUCUCCCUCAUGUCUCUGUUAUCCCCUUUGCCAAGCUGCAUAGCCGACACGUCCAGUUUCACCUUCUCCCUCUCAAAUUGCAUAUUAAAACGUAUCAUGUUGUGGUCGCUACCUCCUAAUGGUCCAUUUAUCUUGAGUUGCCUGAUCAAAUCCGGUUCAUUACACAACACUAUUAUGCAAAAUUACCCUUUCCGUGGUAGGCUCCAUCACAAGCUGCUUUAAGAAUCCAUCCCGUGGGCUCUCUACAUAUGCCCUUUCUUGUAGACCAAUACCAACCAAAUUUGCCCAAUUUACCUGCAUAUUGAAAUCUCCCAUGACCAUCGUAGCAUUGCCCUAUCUGCAUUCCAGUUUUAUUU